CCUACGGGAGGCAGCAGUGAGGAAUAUUGGUCAAUGGGCGCGAGCCUGAACCAGCCAAGUAGCGUGAAGGAUGACUGCCCUACGGGUUGUAAACUUCUUUUAUAAAGGAAUAAUGUGAUUCACGUGUGCCUUUUUGUAUGUACUUUAUGAAUAAGGAUCGGCUAACUCCGUGCCAGCAGCCGCGGUAAUACGGAGGAUCCGAGCGUUAUCCGGAUUUAUUGGGUUUAAAGGGAGCGUAGAUGGGUUGUUAAGUCAGUUGUGAAAGUUUGCGGCUCAACCGUAAAAUUGCAAUUGAUACUGGCAGCCUUGAGUACAGUUGAGGUAGGCGGAAUUCGUGGAGUAGCGGUGAAAUGCUUAGAUAUAACGAAGAACUCCGAUUGCGAAGGCAGCUUACUAAACUGACACUGACAUUGAUGCUCGAGAGUGUGGGUAGCAAACAGGAUUAGAUACCCUUGUAGUC
rnacentral:rRNA from 1 species